CUCUCUCUCAUUCCUGUCUCUCCGAAGUCAAGCCGUGAGUUUUUGUCAGAAAGGAACAAGUGAUCUAGCUCACUCCUUUCCUCUUUCUCUCUCUCUACCUCCCCUUCCAUCUCUCUCGCUCUCUCCCUCUCUCUCCCUCCCUCUGCUCAACAUUCCUCUUUCUCCUGUUCGAUCACUCCUCUCUCUCUCUCUCUCUCUCUCUCUCUCUCUGGUUCACACCCUCCUCUCCUCUCCCGAUCAGUCUCUAUGUGAAGGGAGUUCCGUAUGGUUACAGACUCGGCUGGUGGAAGAAGUCAAAGCAAGGUAGUAAAAUGGAUUGGUGUCAGUCCGAGCGAUGGAAAGGGCAGAAAGUGGAAGAGAACAGAUCCCAAAGAGAACUUCAAAGAGGUGACGUCGGAGAAGCUGGUGUUGUUAUUGGAGCUUCUGCUGACGGAUGGAGCUCAGUGUGACGUCAUUGCAUACUAUCCAGAGAACCUAUGAUGUACAGAACAAGGACGCUGAGGUGAGGCAUUGCUGGUGUGAGCUGCUGGUCAAACACAAAUACUCUCAGGCUUAUGGAGAUGUGGAGCACUUCCUCAUUCACCAC